rnacentral:rRNA from 1 species
UACGGGGGGAGCAAGCGUUGUUCGGAUUUACUGGGCGUAAAGGGCGCGUAGGCGGCCAGCACAAGUCAGUUGUGAAAUCUCCGAGCUUAACUCGGAAAGGUCAACUGAUACUGUGCGGCUAGAGUGCGGAAGGGGCAACUGGAAUUCUUGGUGUAGCGGUGAAAUGCGCAGAUAUCGGGAGGAACACCGGUGGCGAAGGCGGGUCUCUGGGCCGAUACUGACGCUGAGGAGCGAAAGCGUGGGGAGCGAACAGG